CUUUUCCUCCUCCUUUCUUCUUUCUUUUUCUUCUCCUCCUCUUCUCUUCUCCCGACUUCUUCUCGUCCCCCCCUUUCUUCUUCUUUCUUCUCUCGUGAAGGGAGGAGGGCGAGCUCGUCGGAAUGCUUGGGAGGAACGAGCAGCGGCCGGCGGCGCCCGCGGCCGCAGCCGCUCCUGGGGCCGCGCUCGCGGCCCAUGGCCGUGGCGUGCGGCCAGCGGCCAGUGCCCUCGGCCUGUGGUGCCUGCAGCCGUACGGCCGCGCCUGCGGCCAGCGCCCAGGAUGAAUAAGACUACUAGGAGCAGGAAGCUUGGUAUUAUUUAGGGUUAGAGUAACUGAAAGUGUUAUGUAAUAAUCAAAUUUUAAAAGCUCUGUACUGUUUCAACUCAUAAAUAAUGUUAUGAUAUUAGUAGAUGAAACUAUUUAUUUUUGUUAUGAAAUUUUAA